rnacentral:rRNA from 1 species
UACGAAGGGGGGCUAGCGUUGCUCGGAAUCACUGGGCGUAAAGGGCCAGUAGGCGGCCAACUAAGUCGGAUGUGAAAUCCCCCAGGCUUAACCCGGGAACUGCAUCCGAUACUGGAUGGCUUGAAUUCGGGAGAGGGAUGCAGAAUUCCAGGUGUAGCGGUGAAAUGCGUAGAUAUCUGGAGGAACACCGGUGGCGAAGGCGGCAUCCUGGACCGGCACUGACGCUGAUGAGCGAAAGCCAGGGGAGCAAACGGG